AUUGAACGCUGGCGGCAGGCCUAACACAUGCAAGUCGAGCGGAUGAAGGGAGCUUGCUCCUGGAUUCAGCGGCGGACGGGUGAGUAAUGCCUAGGAAUCUGCCUGGUAGUGGGGGAUAACGUCCGGAAACGGGCGCUAAUACCGCAUACGUCCUGCGGGAGCAAGUGGGGGAUCUUCGGACCUCACGCUAUCAGAUGAGCCUAGGUCGGAUUAGCUAGUUGGUGGGGUAAAGGCCUACCAAGGCGACGAUCCGUAACUGGUCUGAGAGGAUGAUCAGUCACACUGGAACUGAGACACGGUCCAGACUCCUACGGGAGGCAGCAGUGGGGAAUAUUGGACAAUGGGCGGAAGCCUGAUCCAGCCAUGCCGCGUGUGUGAAGAAGGUCUUCGGAUUGUAAAGCACUUUAAGUUGGGAGGAAGGGCAGUAAGUUAAUACCUUGCUGUUUUGACGUUACCAACAGAAUAAGCACCGGCUAACUUCGUG
rnacentral:rRNA from 1 species